CGAUAGCGAAGAGGUCACACCCGUUCCCAUUCCGAACACGGCAGUUAAGCUCUUCAGCGCCGAUGGUAGUUGGGGGUUUCCCCCUGUGAGAGUAGGACGUCGCCAAGC
rnacentral:rRNA from 2 species